AGGAUGAACGCUGGCGGCGUGCUUAACACAUGCAAGUCGAACGAUGAAGGCUGGAGCUUGCUCUGGCUGGAUUAGUGGCGAACGGGUGAGUAACACGUGAGUAACCUCGCCCCAGACUCUGGGAUAAGCGCUGGAAACGGCGUCUAAGUACCGGAUACGAGCUUCCACCGCAUGGUGAGGAGCUUAGGAAAGUAUUUCGGUCUGGGAU
rnacentral:rRNA from 1 species